UACGGGGGGGGCAAGCGUUGCUCGGAAUUACUGGGCGUAAAGGGCUCGUAGGUUGCCAACUAAGUCAGACGUGAAAUCCCUCGGCUUAACCGGGGAACUGCGUCUGAUACUGGAUGGCUUGAGUUCGGGAGAGGGAUGCGGAAUUCCAGGUGUAGCGGUGAAAUGCGUAGAUAUCUGGAGGAAUACCGGUGGCGAAGGCGGCAUCCUGGACCAUAACUGACGCUGAGGCGCGAAAGCUAGGGGAGCAAACGGG
rnacentral:rRNA from 1 species